GACGAACGCUGGCGGCGUGCCUAAUACAUGCAAGUCGAGCGAGCUUGCCUAGAUGAAUUUGGUGCUUGCACCAGAUGAAACUAGAUACAAGCGAGCGGCGGACGGGUGAGUAACACGUGGGUAACCUGCCCAAGAGACUGGGAUAACACCUGGAAACAGAUGCUAAUACCGGAUAACAACACUAGACGCAUGUCUAGAGUUUAAAAGAUGGUUCUGCUAUCACUCUUGGAUGGACCUGCGGUGCAUUAGCUAGUUGGUAAGGCAACGGCUUACCAAGGCAAUGAUGCAUAGACGAGUUGAGAGACUGAUCGGCCACAUUGGGACUGAGACACGGCCCAAACUCCUACGGGAGGCAGCAGUAGGGAAUCUUCCACAAUGGACGCAAGUCUGAUGGAGCAACGCCGCGUGAGUGAAGAAGGGUUUCGGCUCGUAAAGCUCUGUUGGUAGUGAAGAAAGAUAGAGGUAGUAACUGGCCUUUAUUUGACGGUAAUUACUUAGAAAGUCACGGCUAACUACGUG
rnacentral:rRNA from 1 species